AAGUCGUAACAAGGUUUCCGUAGGUGAACCUGCGGAAGGAUCAUUAACAUUGUUAUUCUUUUUUGGGUGUGGUUUGUGUUGUUUGUUUUUAUUAACAGAUGCACAUUCCACUCUCAUUUCACCCCAAAUGUGCAUUGUGUUGUGCUUUUUGAGUCAAAUCAAAAGCACUUCUUUUUUAUAUCUAUACUAAAUAAAACCCCUUUUUAUUACUUCUAGACUGACUUUAAACCACUUGAUUCGUACACUUCAUACUGUACGAUGACCAAUCAUAAUACAACUCUUAGCAACGGAUAUCUAGGCUCUC
rnacentral:misc_RNA from 1 species